UCAUUAAUUGGAAGAAUAUAUAAAUAAGUCCCAUCACAUAACCCUUGUGAUUGUUUUGUAUGGUACUUAUUCUUUCAAUAUCCCACUUGCACUAAAGCCAAUCAUCUUCGUAUUUCAAUCCCAUACAAUCAAGAUGGCAAUCAAACAGUUGCUGUGGUACUGCCUUAGUGAAUGAGUCUACUAUAUUAUUCUUAGUUUCUACUCAUUCUAAUAUAACAUUUUAUCUUUCGACAAUCUCUCGAACG
rnacentral:lncRNA from 1 species